AUACAUAGGGGGCAAGCGUUAUCGGGAAUUAUUGGGCGUAAAGGGUGCGUAGGCGGUCUAUUAAGUUUAAGGUAUAAGUGCAAGGCUCAACCUUGUGAGGCUUUAGAAACUGGUAGGCUAGAGAUAGAUAGAGGCAAGUGGAAUUCCAUGUGUAGCGGUAAAAUGCGUAAAUAUAUGGAGGAACACCAGUGGCGAAGGCGGCUUGCUGGGUCUAUACUGACGCUGAGGCACGAAAGCGUGGGGAGCAAACAGGAUUAGAUACCCUGGUAGUCCACGCCGUAAACGAUGAGUACUAAGUGUUGGGGGAACCCAGUGCUGUAGUUAACAUAUUAAGUACUCCGCCUGAGUAGUACGUACGCAAGUAUGAAACUCAAAGGAAUUGACGGGG
rnacentral:rRNA from 1 species